GGAAGGCGAUAACAGGUGAGAGGUGGAUACAGGUGAGGGGUGAUGACAAGUGAGGGGUGAUGACAAGUGAGGGGUGAUGACAGGUGAGGGGUGAUGACAGGUGAUAACAGGUGAGAGGUGCAUACAGAUGAGGGGUGAUGACAGGUGAGGGGUGAUGACAGCUGAUAACAGGUGAUAACAGGUGAGGGGGGAUGACAGGUGAUAACAGGUGAGAGGUGAAUACAGGUGAGGGGUGAUGACAAGUGAGGGGUGA